GUGCAGCAGCUAACAAGUGGCCUGGGGACACCACAGAGGUGGGACAGGAUGGUGGGGACUUGAGGGUUCAGCUACUGGGCCUGGGCGUGUUGUGCAUUCAGCCCUUCCAGCAUCCUCCUCCAGGUACAAGAUGGGAAGACACAGCUCACCCCAGUCCUGCCUGUGCAGGUUUUCUCCCACCCUUGCUGUUGGAGUGGGUGUGCUGCUUCUGUCCGCAGCAUCCCUGGCUCUGCCCUAUAGGAUGCCUGCUUGGUCCCUAUCCUUCUAUUCAGUAUAAGAAGAGGAAAAACACUUCGAACACUUUGCAUUUGCUUGUAAUGCCUCUUUGACACCGUAUCACAAGAGCCUGGGAGCUGUCAGAGCCAUAACGUGCAACAUCAAAUUAACAUUUGUGUUUUCUGAAAUGGUAAUUAUACCCUUUUGUACUGUGCUGAGCUUGUAUUUUUUGAAGUGUAAACGUGGAAGUGACAUCGAAGGUGUAUUUCUGAGCCAACAGUAUGGGGCAUUUGCCCAAGAGCUCGGUGGGGAGGCUUCUGCAGAUCCAGCAGACCACAAGUUGAACAUGAACCAGCAAGGCUUGGCACAGGACUGUUGUGGCUCACAGGCAGCCACAGCUGUGAAAUUUGUGUCCUUUCAAAAAUGACUCAGAGCAUCCCCUGAUGGACAGCAGAGUGUGGUUCUUGGCCCAGCGGGAGCAAGUCUGGAAGCCAAACAUUUAAGCUUGGGUUUGAUAAAUGGGCUGAUACGGCACAGUGCCUGCAGGGGCAGGAGGCUGCACGCAGUGAUGUGCACGCUUUCAUUCAGUCUUUGUUCUCAUUAGCAUGUGAAGACUGGCCAGAAAUCCAUCACCCAUUCAAGGUAGAUAGAAGACACCUGAUAAGGUAGAGAAGGCAGAGCCAUUAACCUGAAGAAACAGACUGAUGUUUUCUUCCUGCUGAAGCCUAUCACAACAGAUGACAAGAGACACAGACAUGUCCUGGGUGCAGUCUCUAAUCAUGCAGAAGGGGAAGCAAUGCUGCACAGCACUAAACCGGUUACUUCAGUAGCAGCAGGCUUGAAAGAGAGCAUCUCUGCCUACCUGUGAUGCGUGUAAGGCCUCCAUCACUUUCGUCUCUUUCAUGCUGAACUUGCAACAGCUCUGUGAAGCUGAGCGGUGCUGUCAGUCCCCCAUCACAGCAGGCAAACAAAGUGCCUGCAUACCUUCAGACACCUUUUCUCCCUGCUGUGGCUGAAUGUACAAUACAGAAGGAGAGGUACACCACGGUGGGGAGCCUGGAGCUGAAGUGGGAGUGGUGGGAAAGCCCUUUGUGUGCCACAUUGUGAUGGGACCUCCACCCUGAGAGAGACUGAUUGCUGGGCUGAGGCUGAAGGCCGAGGUCACAUCCAUAAAUGAGGGUCAGCUCUGGCGCUUGUGGACAUGGGUACCUGGGUACCGCCCGCCCAAAGAAGGCUGCACUCUGCAGGGGGACACCGUGUACCAUGCGGGGGGCAGCACUCCCUUAUGUUCCCUUUUCGUCCUGUGAAGCAAGCACUGUGCUGGUGGCACCACUGCUUCCUCUGGUAGUCCAGUGAGUCUCACCUGUGGCCAAAGGUGAGGUAUUUUAAAAAGUAAGACUGGGAAGAUAAAAAAGAGGACCAGUCUUUUAGCAACACAAAGCCGUCUGCUCUCACAGAAACUGUAGGUGCACACCUUUUUGUUCUUUCCCCUCUAUGCCCAGCAUUUCCAAACAAAGGCCAGGAUAUAUUCUUCCUCUGGACCCUGAAGGGCAGAUAAUCACAUGCCUUUCAGGCAGCUGCCUCCUGACAUGUACUGAGCAUGGACCUUGUGUGCAUACACCCCUGUGUAACAUGUCUGCAAAGCAAGUAACAGACACUUCUCUUUCGGGCUAUCUGCGUCAGUGUAAAAAUGGUACUGCACAAAUGCAUCCAAUACCUUCACCUACCAUUUUAGAGCUCUUCACAAGAUUUAUGAGCUGUUGGACUUCUACACACAUUUCGUAUUGCCAUAGCUACUAAUUAUUAAUAACACCCUGCAACGAAGGCUAACAGCGUGCCUCUGGAGGGAGGGGAAGUUCUGUAGCUUUUGGCUCUGGCCACAGCGUUAUUCAGCAUCAAACCUGAAGUCUCCUGAUCGGCCCAAGACAUGGAAACUGCCCCUUUCAGCCUGCAAUGAAGCAGGGCAUAUCUGUACGGGAGUUCACCACCUCUUUGCACCCCUACCCCAUUGGCUUUCUCUCCUUAUGGAAGGGGUUAAGCAUUAAUAUGCCUCCACUGUUCCCUGUCUUUUCUUGUGAUGCUGAGGUGGCCAUUCAGGCAGCUCCACUAUUA